UUUUAUGGAGAGUUUGAUCCUGGCUCAGGAUGAACGCUGGCGGCGUGCCUAAUACAUGCAAGUCGAGCGAACAGACGAGGAGCUUGCUCCUCUGAUGUUAGCGGCGGACGGGUGAGUAACACGUGGAUAACCUACCUAUAAGACUGGGAUAACUUCGGGAAACCGGAGCUAAUACCGGAUAACAUGUUAAACCGCAUGGUUCAACAGUGAAAGACGGUCUUGCUGUCACUUAUAGAUGGAUCCGCGCCGCAUUAGCUAGUUGGUAAGGUAACGGCUUACCAAGGCAACGAUGCGUAGCCGACCUGAGAGGGUGAUCGGCCACACUGGAACUGAGACACGGUCCAGACUCCUACGGGAGGCAGCAGUAGGGAAUCUUCCGCAAUGGGCGAAAGCCUGACGGAGCAACGCCGCGUGAGUGAAGAAG
rnacentral:rRNA from 1 species